rnacentral:rRNA from 1 species
GUGGGGAAUCUUGCGCAAUGGGCGAAAGCCUGACGCAGCCAUGCCGCGUGAAUGAUGAAGGUCUUAGGAUUGUAAAAUUCUUUCACCGGGGACGAUAAUGACGGUACCCGGAGAAGAAGCUCCGGCUAACUUCGUGCCAGCAGCCGCGGUAAUACGAAGGGGGCUAGCGUUGCGCGGAAUUACUGGGCGUAAAGGGCGCGUAGGCGGACAGCUUAGUCAGAGGUGAAAGCCCAGGGCUCAACCUUGGAAUUGCCUUUGAUACUGGCUGUCUUGAGUUUGGGAGAGGUGAGUGGAACUCCGAGUGUAGAGGUGAAAUUCGUAGAUAUUCGGAAGAACACCAGUGGCGAAGGCGACUCACUGGCCCAAUACUGACGCUGAGGCGCGAAAGCGUGGGGAGCAAACAGGAUUAGAAACCCGGGUAGUCC